ACACACAUAGAAGGAGGGGGUAAAAAUAAAAAGGGGAGGAGAAAUCGAGGAAGAAAACAAAAAACACAAAAUACAGAGAGCACAAAAAGGGGAUAAGCAAAUACAGAGAGAGAACGAGAAUAAAGGAAUAAGGAACUGGGUCAUCUCCUUUCUCACAAAAAUCAGUUCCAAUUUUCUCUUAGAAGCCAUGUAAAUUACCACCAAAAGUCAUCUCAUUUCUCUUCCUAAGAUCUAGAUCCAAGAGCUAAAACAAAAGUUGCUUACCUUCUUCUCCUUCCUAAAAUACCUUCAUUAAACUACCCUCAAACACCCUCCAAAGAGCCCAUUUUUUCAGCCAUGAAAAUCAGUCCUUAAAGCUCCUUUAAUCAAUUGAAAAUCAGCUGCAACAUGUGCAAAAAUGCAGCAGCAGUUUGGCUGUAAAACCAGUCCAAAUUGUAGCUUAAAAUCACCCCAAUACAGUCCAACAAUGACCUCUAAGAGCAGCUCUAUUUCUAAAUGAAAUCAGCCAAAAACCAGCCUUCAAACAGACCUUGAAACAGCGCCCAAGAACAAGCUAAAAUCUACUGAAAUCAGCUAGAAAACGCAGCAAACAGAGCUGCAAAACACCACCCAAAAUCCAGCGUUAGAUAGCAGCAAAAUCAGCUUCGAAUCUGCUGAAAAAUCUGGCCAAAGGAAGCUGCGAAAUAGCUCGAAAACCAGCCAAAACUUGGCUGAAAAUCAACACCAAACAGUCCCUUUUUGCACAAAAAAAUCGCAUUUCCAAGGUUGAGUCGUUGAGUUCGCCGUCACUGGUUUUCGAUCGUGGUCGCUGGUGUUUGGUCCGUCUUUUGAGUUGCAAAGCUUUAAAAUUCGGAUUCGGCAAUAAAGGUACUGAGACAGGUUCCACCAGUGGUCACGGGGGUGUGUAGCCGAUUAUCUACAGAGACUUAGUGGUGAGCUACUUGCCUUGCUACGAUUCGCAGCACCACAUUCUCCUUCUACCUUAUUUACUAUUCUUGUCUAUUGCUUUCGAACAGUGGCUUUAGUGGUUUAUUUUGCAUAUCCUCUAGAUUGCUCAUGUACUUGUGACGCCGAGUUUUGGGGAUUUGUAGCACAUAUGUAUUUUUGUACUUGUCAUUUCUAUCACUGCAGGAUAUGUACUUAUUAUGUUGGUAUUUUAUUUAAAAAGAUUUAUCACAGUA